UACGAAGGGGGCUAGCGUUGCUCGGAAUGACUGGGCGUAAAGGGCGCGUAGGCGGAUGGCACAGUCAGAUGUGAAAUUCCCGGGCUUAACCUGGGGGCUGCAUUUGAUACGUGUUGUCUUGAGUUCGGAAGAGGGUCGUGGAAUUCCCAGUGUAGAGGUGGAAUUCGUAGAUAUUGGGAAGAACACCGGUGGCGAAGGCGGCGACCUGGUCCGACACUGACGCUGAGGCGCGAAAGCGUGGGGAGCAAACAGG
rnacentral:rRNA from 1 species